GCCACGGAAUUCUCGGCUGCUUUAAGGUCUCGAUGCUUCGCCUCUCUCCCCUUUCCGUUCUGGCAUCUUGUUUUCCCCAAGUCAGCUCCAAAGUCAUUAUCGGUCGAGGCCGCUCACUUUGCUUUCACCUACAGGGCAGUACGCGAUCUCCUGAGGGUGGCCCUCGUAGUAGCUUCAUUGAUAGAGCACUGCACGAGUUUUGCGGAAAGAUGUGGCUUGGGCUUCGACCUACGGCAAGGGUCACCUGGCUCCUGGAGGGCAGUCGAGAGCGGUGAGAUCGGGAGAGUGAGUUAACGCCCUGCGCUAAGCACUUCAAGGUCCCCUCGCUCUUGAAAGAGGCCCCAUGGACUACUUACUGUGCAUCUAUGGCCUCGUCGCAGCUUAUGUGGCCGCGUCCGCUGCUGAGGCCUUGGUGCACGCUGCAGGCUUCGGUAAGGCCGGGAUCAGAGGCAGCUCUCCGGCGGCGUGGUGGCAGGCCCGUUGGCGUGGGCCCGGUGUGACGAACGACUUCUUCGCGAAGUUACAGAGCUGGGGCUCUGUGGGAUUUCCCAGCCACUACAACAUUUACUUCGGCCUCAUCGGGUUCUUGUGGGUCAUGCUCAUCGCCGACAGCGACGACGUCUUGGAUGAAGUGCUACCACCUGAAAGGUUUCGACGGUGAUGAGUUGAACUGAAGUAACGUUGCGCGAGCACUUCGAAGGUGUCAGCCGCAAAAUUAAAUAAAGAAAACAGAGAAUUCUCCUGC